rnacentral:rRNA from 1 species
CAGUCGCCGCGGGAAUACGGAGGGGGCUAGCGUUGUUCGGAAUUACUGGGCGUAAAGCGCACGUAGGCGGCUUGGUAAGUUAGAGGUGAAAGCCCGGAGCUCAACUCCGGAAUUGCCUUUAAGACUGCCGAGCUAGUAGGUGAGAGAGGUAAGUGGAAUUCCGAGUGUAGAGGUGAAAUUCGUAGAUAUUCGGAAGAACACCAGUGGCGAAGGCGGCUUACUGGCUCAUUCUAGACGCUGAGGUGCGAAAGCGUGGGGAGCAAACAGGAUUAGAUACCCCGUAGUCCCUGUCUCUUAUACA